rnacentral:rRNA from 1 species
AUUGAACGCUGGCGGCAGGCUUAACACAUGCAAGUCGAGCGGGGUGAUGGUGCUUGCACUAUCACUUAGCGGCGGACGGGUGAGUAAUGCUUAGGAAUCUGCCUAUUAGUGGGGGACAACAUCUCGAAAGGGAUGCUAAUACCGCAUACGUCCUACGGGAGAAAGCAGGGGAUCACUUGUGACCUUGCGCUAAUAGAUGAGCCUAAGUCGGAUUAGCUAGUUGGUGGGGUAAAGGCCUACCAAGGCGACGAUCUGUAGCGGGUCUGAGAGGAUGAUCCGCCACACUGGGACUGAGACACGGCCCAGACUCCUACGGGAGGCAGCAGUGGGGAAUAUUGGGCAAUGGGGGGAACCCUGAUCCAGCCAUGCCGCGUGUGUGAAGAAGGCCUUAUGGUUGUAAAGCACUUUAAGCGAGGAGGAGGCUCUUUUGGUUAAUACCCAAGAUGAGUGGACGUUACUCGCAGAGUAAGCACCGGCUAACUCUGUGCCAGCAGCCGCGGUAA